AGAGGAAACCUCAACAGCCACCUCCGUGCACACACAGGAAACCUCUACACCUUCCUUUAAUUCCUCCUCCCUUCCUAUUCCUCUCCGCUGGUCAUCUCCCCAAAGAACGCCUGGUCUCCUUUCCUUCCUUUGUAGGCUCGCACCUACAGGAAGAUAAACGUACACGAAGAGAAACUGCCUCCUGCCCUCCAUAAUUCCCAUAAGUGUCCACCGUUUCCAAAACUGAAGAUACAGGGACCUGCGCCUCAAUCUCCUCCCUCGUUUCCCUUAGCCCUCUGCCAUCUCUCUUCUCCAUCCUCCCACAGAACUCCUCCCAAAGAAACAGUGUUCCAUGGACGUCGGUCCUUGAUUCUGAUGAAGGAGACCAUCCUAGUCUAUGCCCUUGCGCCAAAAGGUUCUCUUUCAUGCGUUGAAUCCAUUCAGGGAAGAAAGAACGCGAUCCGUUGACCACACACGCAGAAUUUCGCAUGUCCGUCUACACUGUUCGUCGAGUUCUUCGCGCCGUUCUGUCAAACCGGGAACGAUAACGAUCUUGGACAUGGACAGAAUCAGGUUACUGAAGAAGGAGUCGACAACGAAGGCAUGCCUCCUUCUUUGAUCAUACUUAUCCUAUGGUUUACAAAUUGCAUUGAGUUUUAUUGUUACUAUGUGCAUGCUAUUUUAAUUCUCGUAGCUAGCGUGUCGAUUGACACAUUACCUUGAUCCGCUUGUCGCCUAUUCACUUGACACCUGAGUAGAAUUAUAGUAUUCUUGUAGAGUAGAAAUGCUUAGCCAUGCUUAUUACCCUAUAGGUGCUUUGUUGAAUGACCUCUGAGUCAUUGACAGUUGAAACUUACCGCUGAGCUAGGCUAGUUGGCCCUUAUUGAUAUCCUCUACUCUCUUCUACUCAGGGUAAAACUUACCAUCUGAAUACUGGUGCGGGCGACAGCUGAAUCAAGGAUUGAAGGAGCGAUUGGCUGCCCUUCACGAGUUGAAGGGAGCAAUCAGUCGUCCGUGCCGCAUGAGUCCUAAUAAGUCUUGGAUUUGAAGAUUGCGAUAACAGUACAGCCACAUGCUAUAUGGGCACUGGCUUGGUUAAUUAAUUAGUUCACUCUUAUUGUCGUCAUCGCCGUACCGCAGAUGGGAUAGCUGCCUUGCGAGGAGUAUCCUCGGCACAAAAGGGGGGACCGGACUGUGAACUGCGGUUGCUUCCGUGUUGAAACCUAGUGGGCUUGGCACAGUAAGUUUGGUCUAAUGAAAGGCCUCGUCACAAUCUCCCUGCCGGUAUACCAAAUGGUGUACUACGGCAGCGGCCGCUGCUGGCAACAAGUCGGGAUUGUGUUGUGUGGGUAAAGUGUACAACCUUUGUAGAGUGUAAAACUAUUCGAAUAGCCGUGUCCACGGUCAUGGACGACACAUGAAUCUUUCUUGACGUACAGGACCUGUCUUGAUUAUUCCCUCUUUGCCCCUAUUCUUGAAACCUAUGAAGAGUGUGAGUUGAUCGAGGAUCCUCACUUUGAUGAAAGUUAUUCUGGAGUUAAAACAUGUUUACAUCAAAGACUACUUCUAUCCAACUGCUAUUUUUUUCAAACAAAAUUAGCUUUUAUGCAAAUGAGCCAUACAGCCUUCCUUUGAAGCCACAUGUAGCUAUUAGGACCCUCUCCGAGGGAGGCAUGUUGAGUGCGUAAUGUACUCAUGACAAUAAUUUUGUUGACAACGGAGUUUCAUGAAGAUGAAUGUGAUGCUACAACUACUAUGGCGAUCCUUAGGAGUGAGGUCACGUGGACUACAUCGACUGCCUAUGGCUGAGAUGGAGUCGCUACGCAUUGUACUUUCCGCUGUUUUCUGAUUGUAAGAAAUGUCAUGGGACAUUUCACUAGGUAUGUCUUGUGACAAAUAUACUAAUAAUGCUUCUACGUAUUCUGCAA